AUGGACGAAAGUCUGACGGAGCAACGCCGCGUGAGUGAUGAAGGUUUUCGGAUCGUAAAACUCUGUUGUUAGGGAAGAACAAGUGCCUUCGAAUAGGGCGGCACCUUGACGGUACCUAACGAGAAAGCCACGGCUAACUACGUGCCAGCAGCCGCGGUAAUACGUAGGUGGCAAGCGUUGUCCGGAAUUAUUGGGCGUAAAGCGCGCGCAGGCGGUCUCUUAAGUCUGAUGUGAAAGCCCCCGGCUCAACCGGGGAGGGUCAUUGGAAACUGGGAGACUUGAGUACAGAAGAGGAGAGUGGAAUUCCACGUGUAGCGGUGAAAUGCGUAGAGAUGUGGAGGAACACCAGUGGCGAAGGCGACUCUCUGGUCUGUAACUGACGCUGAGGCGCGAAAGCGUGGGGAGCAAACAGGAUUAGAUACCC
rnacentral:rRNA from 1 species